UAAGGAAUAUUGGUCAAUGGAGGCAACUCUGAACCAGCCAUGCCGCGUGCAGGAAGACGGCCCUCUGGGUUGUAAACUGCUUUUAUUCGGGAAUAAACCUGCUUACGUGUAAGUAGCUGAAUGUACCGAAGGAAUAAGGAUCGGCUAACUCCGUGCCAGCAGCCGCGGUAAUACGGAGGAUCCAAGCGUUAUCCGGAUUUAUUGGGUUUAAAGGGUGCGUAGGCGGCCUAUUAAGUCAGGGGUGAAAGACGGUAGCUCAACUAUCGCAGUGCCCUUGAUACUGAUGGGCUUGAGUGAGCUGGAGGUAGGCGGAAUGUGACAAGUGGCGGUGAAGUGCAUAGAUAUGUCACAGAACACCGAUUGCGAAGGCGGCUUACCAUGGUUUUAUUGACGCUGAGGCACGAAAGCGUGGGGGUCAAACA
rnacentral:rRNA from 1 species